rnacentral:rRNA from 1 species
GGGUUGUGAGGUUAAGCGACUAAGCGUACACGGUGGAUGCCCUGGCAGUCAGAGGCGAUGAAGGACGUGCUAAUCUGCGAAAAGCGUCGGUAAGGUGAUAUGAACCGUUAUAGCCGGCGAUGUCCGAAUGGGGAAACCCAGUGCAAUUCGUUGCACUAUCGUUAACUGAAUACAUAGGUUAACGAGGCGAACCGGGGGAACUGAAACAUCUAAGUACCCCGAGGAAAAGAAAUCAACCGAGAUUCCCCCAGUAGCGGCGAGCGAACGGGGAGCAGCCCAGAGUCUGAAUCAGCUUGUGUGUUAGUGGAACGGUCUGGAAAGUCCGACGGUACAGGGUGAUAGUCCCGUACACCAAAAUGCACAGGUUGUGAACUCGAAGAGUAGGGCGGGACACGUGGUAUCCUGUCUGAAUAUGGGGGGACCAUCCUCCAAGGCUAAAUACUCCUGACUGACCGAUAGUGAACCAGUACCGUGAGGGAAAGGCGAAAAGAACCCCGGCGAGGGGAGUGAAAAAGAACCUGAAACCGUGUACGUACAAGCAGUGGGAGCACCUUCGGGUGUGACUGCGUACCUUUUGUAUAAUGGGUCAGCGACUUAUAUUCUGUAGCAAGGUUAACCGUAUAGGGGAGCCGCAGGGAAACCGAGUCUUAACUGGGCGUUAAGUUGCAGGGUAUAGACCCGAAACCCGGUGAUCUAGCCAUGGGCAGGUUGAAGGUUGGGUAACACUAACUGGAGGACCGAACCGACUAAUGUUGAAAAAUUAGCGGAUGACUUGUGGCUGGGGGUGAAAGGCCAAUCAAACCGGGAGAUAGCUGGUUCUCCCCGAAAGCUAUUUAGGUAGCGCCUCGUGAACUCAUCUUCGGGGGUAGAGCACUGUUUCGGCUAGGGGGUCAUCCCGACUUACCAACCCGAUGCAAACUACGAAUACCGAAGAAUGUUAUCACGGGAGACACACGGCGGGUGCUAACGUCCGUCGUGAAGAGGGAAACAACCCAGACCGCCAGCUAAGGUCCCAAAGUCAUGGUUAAGUGGGAAACGAUGUGGGAAGGCACAGACAGCCAGGAUGUUGGCUUAGAAGCAGCCAUCAUUUAAAGAAAGCGUAAUAGCUCACUGGUCGAGUCGGCCUGCGCGGAAGAUGUAACGGGGCUAAACCAUGCACCGAAGCUGCGGCAGCGACACUAUGUGUUGUUGGGUAGGGGAGCGUUCUGUAAGCCUGCGAAGGUGACCUGUGAGGGUUGCUGGAGGUAUCAGAAGUGCGAAUGCUGACAUAAGUAACGAUAAAGCGGGUGAAAAGCCCGCUCGCCGGAAGACCAAGGGUUCCUGUCCAACGUUAAUCGGGGCAGGGUGAGUCGACCCCUAAGGCGAGGCCGAAAGGCGUAGUCGAUGGGAAACAGGUUAAUAUUCCUGUACUUGGUGUUACUGCGAAGGGGGGACGGAGAAGGCUAUGUUAGCCGGGCGACGGUUGUCCCGGUUUAAGCAUGUAGGCUGGUUGUCCAGGCAAAUCCGGAUAAUCAAGGCUGAGGUGUGAUGACGAGGCACUACGGUGCUGAAGUAACAAAUGCCCUGCUUCCAGGAAAAGCCUCUAAGCAUCAGGUAACAUCAAAUCGUACCCCAAACCGACACAGGUGGUCAGGUAGAGAAUACCAAGGCGCUUGAGAGAACUCGGGUGAAGGAACUAGGCAAAAUGGUGCCGUAACUUCGGGAGAAGGCACGCUGGUGUGUAGGUGAAGUCCCUGCGGAUGGAGCUGAGACCAGUCGAAGAUACCAGCUGGCUGCAACUGUUUAUUAAAAACACAGCACUGUGCAAACACGAAAGUGGACGUAUACGGUGUGACGCCUGCCCGGUGCCGGAAGGUUAAUUGAUGGGGUUAUCCGUAAGGAGAAGCUCUUGAUCGAAGCCCCGGUAAACGGCGGCCGUAACUAUAACGGUCCUAAGGUAGCGAAAUUCCUUGUCGGGUAAGUUCCGACCUGCACGAAUGGCGUAAUGAUGGCCAGGCUGUCUCCACCCGAGACUCAGUGAAAUUGAACUCGCUGUGAAGAUGCAGUGUACCCGCGGCAAGACGGAAAGACCCCGUGAACCUUUACUAUAGCUUGACACUGAACAUUGAGCCUUGAUGUGUAGGAUAGGUGGGAGGCUUUGAAGCGUGGACGCCAGUCUGCGUGGAGCCAACCUUGAAAUACCACCCUUUAAUGUUUGAUGUUCUAACGUUGGCCCCUGACCGGGGUUGCGGACAGUGUCUGGUGGGUAGUUUGACUGGGGCGGUCUCCUCCCAAAGCGUAACGGAGGAGCACGAAGGUUAGCUAAUCCUGGUCGGACAUCAGGAGGUUAGUGCAAUGGCAUAAGCUAGCUUGACUGCGAGCGUGACGGCGCGAGCAGGUGCGAAAGCAGGUCAUAGUGAUCCGGUGGUUCUGAAUGGAAGGGCCAUCGCUCAACGGAUAAAAGGUACUCCGGGGAUAACAGGCUGAUACCGCCCAAGAGUUCAUAUCGACGGCGGUGUUUGGCACCUCGAUGUCGGCUCAUCACAUCCUGGGGCUGAAGUAGGUCCCAAGGGUAUGGCUGUUCGCCAUUUAAAGUGGUACGCGAGCUGGGUUUAGAACGUCGUGAGACAGUUCGGUCCCUAUCUGCCGUGGGCGCUGGAGAAUUGAGGGGGGCUGCUCCUAGUACGAGAGGACCGGAGUGGACGCAUCACUGGUGUUCGGGUUGUCAUGCCAAUGGCACUGCCCGGUAGCUAAAUGCGGAAGAGAUAAGUGCUGAAAGCAUCUAAGCACGAAACUUGCCCCGAGAUGAGUUCUCCCUGAGACUUUAAGUCUCCUGAAGGAACGUUAAAGACGAUGACGUUGAUAGGCCGGGUGUGUAAGCGCAGCGAUGCGUUGAGCUAACCGGUACUAAUGAACCGUGAGGCUUAACCUUACAACGCCGAAG